UUUGAUACAUGGAAGAGUAUAUGAAAUACCCAAUUUAGACAGUUUUUGAGGAUGUAUAGCACACUUACACGUCCAUGUUGGAAUAGAACAUUAAACUUUCCACUAAGGCAACAUAUCAUAGUUUCGAUAUUUGAUAUACAAUUCCGGGGGUCGUGUUUGCCAAGGGUGGUAACCAUGGAAACAAAAAAAAUUAUAAAAGUAAUUUCACAUUUUUUCCAGUUUCUACAUUAAAAAAUGUAAUUAAAAGUAAACCAAUAACUUAUUUAAUCUUACAUUACCUUUUAUUUAUUAUUUACAAGAGAAAUACAACCUAAUUACAAAUAAUAGGUAUGUUACUUACGCAGUGACAUACCUACGACAUCUAUGGUUAUAACAUACCUAUAAUUAUAAAAGCAAAUAUAAGAAAUUUGAAUAAAGUAUAAUGAUACAAAUAAUUUCUUUAGGAAAAGGGAAUUGUUUUGCGAUAUUGUCCUUUGUGAACGUUUUUUUUUAACAUUGGUUCGGUAAAUAACAAACUAUCCAUUUUCCUGUCUUGUUAACUAAAACGGGACACAUGUUUAUUAAGGAGUUACAUGAGCGCAUUAUAUUUGGAAAAGACCGGUUAAAGACAAUAAUUAUAUAUAUUCAACAAAGAUGUAAACUACAAUGUAUUUCAUUAUAUUUCAAUAACUGUUCGUAAAUCAAUCUGAAAUGUAUUCAUAACAUGAGUAAUUGACUUCAAACGAAAAUACAAUAUUUCUUAUAACAUAUGUUUUCCAGUGUGUGCAAAGAUUAAAGAAACUAAACUAAUGUCAAAUGAUCUUAAAAUAAAAAAUAAAGGUUGAAUAUUAAUAUUAUACUUGAACGGCUAAGUUACACACGUGGCCUUUGACUUUUUUAAAAGUAAGUCCUUUCUUUUUUAAAAAUCUUCAGAAAUGUUAUUGUCUUUCGUUCUGUAAUUCACCGUUAGUUUUUCGUAUAUAAUGACCCUGGGAAAUAAUAAAUCCAUAUAGUGCUAUGAUCAAAAUGACAAUAACAAAUAAAAUUAUCGCUAGUACUUUAGCAUCCGAACAAUGAAAGUCGAAUGGAUAAUCCGGGAUGAAAGAAAAAGCAUAUAAACAGGGAAGUUGUAUUCUGAAAGAAAAAAAAAUAAUUCACCAAAAUCCUUUACAAAGUGAAAUUAACAAAUGGAAAUGCAUAGA
rnacentral:lncRNA from 1 species